AAAAGGAGGAGAGAAGGGGAAAGAAGCAUCUGAACGGCUAAAUUGUGCCAGCAGCGCUGAGAGCGAGAGUCACAAGACCUUGCUGAGGACGUGGUUGUCUGUCCUUCCCCCGGGGAUGCCGUUGACUGUGGCCGUCUCAGGCUCGCGUGGCUUCUCUCUGCCCGGCCUCACCGUCCUUGCAGCGCGGGGGCGAAAAGGGACACACAGAGCCCUUCCCGGCUGUGGACAGGAGCUGCCUCGGCUGAAGCUGGAGACACCAACGAAAGGUGGAGGAUGGCCUAGAGUCUGGAGCUGCAGAAGAGGCAGGGAGGAGAGAAGGGGAAACAAGCAUCUGAACGGCUAAAUUGUGCCAGCAGCGCUGAGAGCGAGAGUCACGAGACCUUGCUGCGGACGUGGUUGUCUGUCCUUCCCCCGGGGAUGCCGUUGACUGUGGCCGUCUCAGGCUCGCGUGGCUUCUCUCUGCCCGGCCUCGCCGUCCUUGCAGCGCGGGGCUCAAAAGGGAUAGACAAAGCCCUUCCCAGCUGUGGACAGGACCUGCCUCGGCUGAAGCUGGAGACACCAACGAAAGGUGGAGGAUGGCCUAGAGUCUGGAGCUGCAGAAGAGGCAGGGAGGAGAGAAGGGGAAACAAGCAUCUGAACGGCUAAAUUGUGCCAGCAGCGCUGAGAGCGAGAGUCACGAGACCUUGCUGAGGACGUGGUUGUCUGUCCUUCCCCCGGGGAUGCCGUUGACUGUGGCCGUCUCAGGCUCGCGUGGCUUCUCUCUGCCCGGCCUCACCGUCCUUGCAGCGCGGGGGCGAAAAGGGACACACAGAGCCCUUCCCGGCUGUGGACAGGAGCUGCCUCGGCUGAAGCUGGAGACACCAACGAAAGGUGGAGGAUGGCCUAGAGUCUGGAGCUGCAGAAGAGGCAGGGAGGAGAGAAGGGGAAACAAGCAUCUGAACGGCUAAAUUGUGCCAGCAGCGCUGAGAGCGAGAGUCACGCCCGUCGCUCCAGGAGCCAGGCGACGGACGGUCCCUUCCCUGCCAAACCAGGACAAGCGUGUGCCGUGGUUUAGCCCCAGCUGGCAACUCUGCACCAGGGAGUUGC